rnacentral:miRNA from 1 species
CAUCUUACCCCACCCUGCUAUAUAUAUAGUAGGGUGGGGGAAGAUGGGACAC